UACAUGUGGGGCAAGCGUUGUUCGGAAUUACUGGGCAUAAAGGGUGCGUAGGUGGUUUGGUAAGUCAGUGGUGAAAUCGUCCGGCCCAACCGGACACGUGCCAAUGAUACUGCCGAACUCGAGUGCGUGAGGGGUGGGGGGAACGAGCAGUGUAGCGGUGAAAUGCGUAGAUAUCAGGAAGAACACCGGUGGCGAAAGCGCUCUGCUAGGCCGCAACUGACACUGAGGGACGAAAGCUAGGGGAGCGAAUGGG
rnacentral:rRNA from 1 species